rnacentral:lncRNA from 1 species
CUCCUCCAUGGAACUUCUGUUGUCAUCCAGUGGCUGAAAUCAACUGGAAGCCUACAGGGAAAGACCUGCCUCCUGGGACACAGAGCAGGCAUGGAAACAUCACAUUGCAGCAGAUGCUGGGGAUGCAGCAAUGAACAAGACAGGCCAGAUCCCUACUCUCAGAUAAACACAAUGAUCCAGGUCAGUAGGCAUUUGGUAGGAAUCUGCAUCAAACUGUUGGGCAAUGGUAGACAGCAACAUUGACGUCUGUAAAUUUACACUUGGAUUCUUAGUUUCUGGUUGGCUGCAUCCUUCUUCUGAAGGCCACUGCUCUUUUCAGAAGACCUCCCUAGAUGGCUAAGCUCUCUGGGUUGCAACAGUUGCUCUUUUUCCUUGAGCCUUAGGUUAGGGAGUUGGGAGGAAGUAAUGGCUUCCCCCACUGCUAGCUCCAGGGUGCUACACUUUCUCUUUUCUAGUUUCCCUAAUCUGGCUUACACCAUUAUAGAUAGACCCUUUAUUAAAAUAUCCUCAAUUUAUCCAUAU